rnacentral:rRNA from 1 species
GGGUGAGUAAUGCAUCGGAACGUGCCAUUGAGUGGGGGAUAACGUAGCGAAAGUUGCGCUAAUACCGCAUAUUCUGUGAGCAGGAAAGCAGGGGACCGCAAGGCCUUGCGCUCUUUGGGCGGCCGAUGUCAGAUUAGCUAGUUGGUGAGGUAAAGGCUUACCAAGGCGACGAUCUGUAGCGGGUCUGAGAGGAUGAUCCGCCACACUGGAACUGAGACACGGUCCAGACUCCUACGGGAGGCAGCAGUGGGGAAUUUUGGACAAUGGGGGCAACCCUGAUCCAGCCAUGCCGCGUGAGUGAAGAAGGCCUUCGGGUUGUAAAGCUUUUUCGGCCGGGAAGAAAUCGCAUGGGCCAAUACCCUGUGUGGAUGACGGUACCGGAAUAAGAAGCACCGGCUAACUACGUGCCAGCAGCCGCGGUAAUACGUAGGGUGCGAGCGUUAAUCGGAAUUACUGGGCGUAAAGCGUGCGCAGGCGGUUUUGUAAGACAGGCGUGAAAUCCCCGGGCUUAACCUGGGAACUGCGUUUGUGACUGCAAGGCUAGGGUACGGCAGAGGGGGGUGGAAUUCCGCGUGUAGCAGUGAAAUGCGUAGAGAUGUGGAGGAACACCAAUGGCGAAGGCAGCCCCCUGGGUCGAUACUGACGCUCAUGCACGAAAGCGUGGGUAGCAAACAGGAUUAGAUACCCUGGUAGUCCACGCCCUAAACUAUGUCAACUAGGUGUUGGGUGGGUAAAACCAUUUAGUACCGUAGCUAACGCGUGAAGUUGACCGCCUGGGGAGUACGGCCGCAAGGUUAAAACUCAAAGGAAUUGACGGGGACCCGCACAAGCGGUGGAUGAUGUGGAUUAAUUCGAUGCAACGCGAAAAACCUUACCUACCCUUGACAUGCCAGGAACUUGCCAGAGAUGGCUUGGUGCCCGAAAGGGAGCCUGGACACAGGUGCUGCAUGGCUGUCGUCAGCUCGUGUCGUGAGAUGUUGGGUUAAGUCCCGCAACGAGCGCAACCCUUGUCGUUAAUUGCCAUCAUUUAGUUGGGCACUUCAACGAGACUGCCGGUGACAAACCGGAGGAAGGUGGGGAUGACGUCAAGUCCUCAUGGCCCUUAUGGGUAGGGCUUCACACGUCAUACAAUGGUCGGUACAAAGGGUUGCCAAGCCGCGAGGCGGAGCCAAUCCCAGAAAGCCGAUCGUAGUCCGGAUUGCAGGCUGCAACUCGCCUGCAUGAAGUCGGAAUCGCUAGUAAUCGUGGAUCAGCAUGUCACGGUGAAUACGUUCCCGGGUCUUGUACACACCGCCCGUCACACCAUGGGAGCGGGUUCCGCCAGAAGUAGGUAGCCUAACCGCAAGGGGGGCGCUUACCACGGCG